CGGGCACACUAACCCUGCCUCACCUACCACUCACAGAACCAUCGGAAAGCGCCCUCCCUCUCUCUCCCUCCCAUCCACUUCCAACAGCAUCUUUUGCACCUGAAAGAAGAACAGAACACCCCGACGUGUUUCUUUCCCCCUUGGUUUCAAAUUGAGAGGGUCAUACACGUGCGUCGAGCUCCACGGGUAGGCGUCUGUGCGCGACUAACUUUCUUCCCCCCCUCAAAACGCGCUGCGCUCCCCUUCGUCACGUUGACACACACACACACACACACGAAAAGGAGAACGAAAAAAAGAACAGCGUGCAUCACCGGUUAAAGCCAGCCGCAAAAACGUCUCUCCGCUUCUUCCGCGGCGACCGCGCACAUAUCAGCGCAUUCAAUCAUCUACCCAUCCCUCGCAUCUAGCAACGUGUGUGUGCGUGCGUAAUUUGUUGCUGCGUGCAACCAUUGUUGUUGUCUUUUGGGGUUUGCUCGGCGAUUGCAGAGGGAAACAACCGAGCAAAGGACGGAGCGGUGCUAAACAUAUCGAAACGGGCCACCACAACACUGUUUUUUUUCCCUGCUCGUUUGCUCAGCCAUCGAGGCAGGCUGACUCGUUAUCCCGGUCUGGUGCUGCUACUCAUCUCUUGCAUCGCUUCUUGUGUCUCUGCCGUCUUCUUUUUGUUUACCCGCAACGGGCGUGGGCGUUGCCGUCAUCUUUCAUUUUCGUUUGCCUUUGUGGCUCUCUCUUCUUCUUCGUCUAGCGCGGAUGAGCAAGUCGUCUAUCGCUAAUGACAGCUCUGUCACGCUCGCCCCUUUCCUCGUCGCCCUUGGCGACUACCAGAAGAAGGGGGUAGGCGUGGACAUGAUGUUGAAGUCAGUGCUCAACAUUGUGCGUCUGUGCAUGAUUUACAGCACUGACGGACGGGACAGGAGAAAAUACUUUCAGCUAGCCGACAGCAUCAUUGAGUGCCGCAUGCUGUGCAACUUCGGCCGUCCGGCAAUGACGCUCAGUCAAGGACUGAAGAUGUUCGCCAUGAGAGAAGAGAUGGAGUUCUGGCACUGGCUUUUCACUUGUCUCUCCUUCUUCUUGCGGGUGCCAGAGCAGCUGAGCGGUGACCUCAACUACCUGCAGAAGGUUGUAUUUCACAGUUGGAGUCGAGAGGCAUUUUCAUUCUCCUACCGCUUCUUCAAGUCCUUGUCUCUGACAUGCUGUGUGCUGAUGGAGCUCACUCGUCGCUCUGCGCUGCAGCGGGCGCUGCGUGACGCCUCUACGCCAAAGCAGCGCUUGCACGCAGGCCUGGAAAUGAGGGUGUCGAACGCGCUGAUUGUGCGGUCUCUGUGCGACAUGUACGUGUACUUCAAGUGGAUACCGAGCUACCACCCAAUCAAGACGGUCGAGUUCUUGUGCGGCUUCGUGUCUGGCAUCGUUGGCAUGUGGCUUGUGUGGAGGGACACGCGGUACGUUGUGUCGCCGCCUCCUGUGAUGACAGCCGAGACCCCGAUACCGUGCCCGAACAAGGACGCGCUGAAGCGCGCCGUGUGCGUGCUGGGCAGCCAGGGGGACGGUAGCGAGGUCGCCAGCGGUAGCGGCGAAGAUGGGUGAUGAUUGCGCGUAUCCGCUUUCCACCUCCACUGCACAGAGAGCCGUAAAAGGACGACUAUUCCACGUACUUUUCCGGCCAUACCAUCGUACACACGCACACAUGCACACACCUUCGUUCACAAGCAAUCGUGCUGACCAAGAAAGGUGGAGAAAAGGAGAAGAGGCAACUACAUGCAGACGCAGCGCUGCUCUCUCUUAUUUAUCCCUAUGCUUGUACUCUACCCGACAAGAUGUUUCAGUUUUUUUUUCUUGGUUUGUGUUUCCGCUCUUCUUGCUUGUUUCGAACGGGAAUGGUCGGCAGAGCUGUCAGCAAGGGGCACCGACAUGCCAUCUCACGGUGCCGAGGAAGUGGUGCGCGGCCCGGCAGCAUCUCCCGGUGACACAAUGUACUCAGCGAGCCUUUCACAUCUCCUCUUGCCCGUUUUCGUGAGAAAGUGUGCGUGCAUGUGUUUCUGUCGGUAUCCGCCUCCCCUCCCUCCCCUCCGAUCCACGCACAUUUCUCCUCUCAUGAUCAUUUUCUUCCCUCUCUUUUUGUUGUGUCUAUCCACUCCAUGCGGUGCCAUGGAAGAUGGUUCGCCAUUCAACACUGCCGCUUCGCCCCUUCCCCUUUUUUCACCCACCGCCCUAACUCAAGGCUCAUGAUAGGUUGGGCGACCUCUCUCAUCGCCUUUCUCGGUCUCUCCGCCCUCUUUUUCUCUCUACCCUCGCUUGGUCGAAGCAAUGAAUUCGUUUGGCCCUCUCCCUUGCCCCCGCCGCAUCUCGAACGCAUGCGCAUCGCGUCCGUGCGCGUGUAUAAGCGAGCAACUGCUUGUGGGCUGGCGUGAGCGCGUGUCCUCCCGGCGACGCAAUCAAUAGAUAGUCUGCAUGUGUUUGUGUGUGUGCCCGCCCAUCUUCACGCAUCUGCGCCCAAGGCCCGCCAGAGUGUGAGCUUGCGCCUCCUUUUUCCUAUAUCCUCCAAAUGUGUAAGGCUAGUAUUAUUUGUGCGCGUGCUCCCCUCAGCCUCGCUGAACGCCAGCGCGCCUCCUCUCACGUCUCUCCUCCUUUGUAUGUUCCUCAGCCCUACACAAGGGGAGGUGGCACAGGUGCGAUACACGGAUGCUCUUGCUCCGCGUGCCGUCACGACGACGCACUGCCAGCCAUGGAUGACGCAGCUAUGAUCUCUGACACCGGAGGCGCGGGCAGAAGAUGGCCAUGCAUCGCUGUCAGUGGAAAGAAAAAGAAAACUAACGCGUGGUGGCCAAUGCGGCAGGCAUCAGGAGACGGAUGCAGCAGCUCAGGGCUCUUGAACACGAGCGUGCUCGAGGGGGAAGAAGGAAUCCAACAAGCAGAGAAGUCGUUGUGGGCGGGCGAAUGGGCACCAUCUGAGUCCCCAAAGAAUAGAACGAGGGAACAGAAGGAGAAAGCAACACGUCACCUUCGUCCGACACGGACCUACCCCCUUCUACCUACCCUCUCUCCCCUCUCUCCGCUGCAUCGUCUUACCAACCGCACCCUUUUUUUUUCACAGGCGACACGAUGAAAAAAAAAAGGGACGAUACAAUCAUACCGCGCUGAUUGAAAGGAUGAGGAAAGAGGGAGGGCGGGGGGGCAGCUCGUGUCUUGAUCAGUUACGCGUGUGCUUGUGUUGGCUGAUGUUUGCGCUUGUGGUGGCAUAUUUUGCCGAUUUACCGUGUUGCUAUGCUCCCUUCGUUCUUCUUUUUAAGUAAACGUUGUCCGCCGAGUCUUUCCAUAUUAUUCUUAAUGAUCUUCUCUCUUUGAUUCGGUGCCCCACAACUAUCGGUGCGCAUGUGAUUCAGCGAGAAAAAAGGAGGAGAAGGGAGGGGCGUGUGGGAUGGCAGGAGAGUUUCUCGAGGGGGGACGGGACGGGCAGGGUUUCAGGAAGAGGUAGUGGGUGGGCGCUGGAGCGAUGGACACGACGCACGGAAAGUGGAACGAAAGAGGAGGCUCAUGGGGAAAGUGAAAUGCUGAUAAGAGACCGGAAAAACGUGUAGUUCACAUGCGUGAAGCGACGUGCGCCGUUUUUCAUCAGUGUUGUUUAUCAUGUGCACGCCGAAAAGUGAGGUGCCAGCGGAGGAGCAAUCCAAGCGUGGACAGUCUCGGCGUGCGGGGGAUAACUGCCUCCUGCGCUCCUUUGCUUUUGGGGUGCGUUUCUCUGUUCCUCUAGUGAAUACAUGAAGGGUUUAUAUAUAUAUGAGAAGGCCUGCAGAAAAGGGGUUCUUUGCCGCGGCUUCAUCAAGCUCCCGCAUGCGUUCGUGCGUGGGCGCAUUUCUGGGGCCCACUCUAUUGAUUCUCAGGUGUUUCUUUUCGUCCUUUUUUCUUCGGUGCUUGGGUGUCUGUAUGCUCGUUGUGCGACUGGCGACUUCUCUUUGUUCCUCUCUGUCUGUGCGUCCUUGUGCGUCUUGUAAUGCAUAAUUUUCUUUUCCUAUGCUGGACGUUCUUUUUUUUUUCGGGGUCGUGGCGGAGAUUUUGUAAAUGUGUGUUUUGCACCUAAGCAACAAUAAGAAAACAUCCCUCCUCCUCCCUCUCUUUCUCUCGCGCGCACCGACUUACUCAUUCAUGUGCGUCUCCAUUCAUCUUUCAGAAUAUACCUUUUUUAUUUUUGGUUGCUUUCCCCUUCCGGGACCCAUGCUCAUGUGUACGCGCGUGCACUGUGCCGUUGCCCUUUGCCUUGUGGCGGGCACCGCCCUGGCCGAGGUGGGCGGACAUGAAUGAUGCGCGAAGGAGACGCGAGCUCGCAAGCGGGGGAGGGAAAAGACGGAGCGCGUCUCUCGGAUGGGGAGGGGGACAGAGGCAACCGUAGCAAAGCGUGUACAGGCCUUAUCUACAGGGCGCACACCAAAGGCUGCGGAGCGCAAGGGCAGCAAAAACAAGGGGCUUGGGCGAUGGAAGGCAAAUCACUGCACGCACUCUUGAUUCUACCCUUGCAUUUCUUCCGUCUGCUUGGUGCGUGAAGAGGAGUGAAACGCCAGUGCGUGGUGUCCAGGGUCCAAUGCAUGCCCCCCUCCCUCCCACACACACACACACUCCGUGUGGGGAGUUCAAGCAGCCCCUCCCUACCCCUGCCGAAUGCCGAGCCACUUCUGGCGCUGACAGGGCCAAGCACCCGCGACGCAGGGAGGUCAGAGCGAUGCAUCACUGCCGAUGCCGGCGGUCAGGUCCUGGAUGGCGCGAUGCGUCUGAGCGACCUGCGACAGCGUGAGCAUGCUUGCACCAUCCAUACGAUGGGCACGAGUGCCGACCUGACUGGAACGUAUCCCACACACACCCGGCCCUCAGGCUGCCUACCGGUGGGGGAGCCUGAGCCACCCCGAUAGGGGCGCGCCCAGUAGCGAGCGGCAUGAGGGGCGCGGCUGUGAGGCGACCUGCGAGGCGGGCGGGUGGGUGGGCAUGGUACGGGGCAGGGGCCGUGCUCAGACGACUGAGUCGGCGCAUUUGGUGUAACGAGUGUCUACGGCUGCUUUGCACCGCAAGAUGGGCCACUGUGGCAGACCGGGCAGAGUAGAGCUUAGCUCAUGUUGUGUGGCAGAGAAUGGACACAUUGGCGUGGCGUGUGCUCCUUUUUCGCUGGCUCUGACUUUGUGCUGCUCUUAUCGCCUUUUUGUCUCUUCAACCUUGCGUGCAGCGCUUGUGCAGGUCGUCAUCCUCGUUUCUCCUAUGCUGCCUCUAACGAAGCCUUUCGAACGCUUCUGCACAGCGCGCGUGCGUGUGCGUGUGCCUUGGUGCCAGUGUCGUCGGCGUCUCCGUGUCCGUCUCUGUCUCUUUCCCCCUGAGCGACAUCGGUACGUGUUUGGGUACCGGAUUCGAGUCUUGAAGCUCUUUUUGCAAAACACUUGUUUUCUUUUUUCUUGCGAAUGCGCUGAUAUGCCCUUGCUCUGUUGCCUUCCUGUGAUGUUCGCCGAGAGUCGGUGAUGGCGGGUGAGGGAGGGAGGGGCGGCGUCGAGGAAAACCAUCUUCGCUCUCCCCAUCUCCUGAGGAAUGUAGAGUAGAGGAGCCCCCGUGCGUUGAAUGAUAAACACUUUAUACGUUCUUCGACGAGAACCCACCUUCAGUGUUGCGCACCACUCCCACAAAAAGAAAAGGCAGCUGGUAAGGGAUAGCUCAAUCAUUCCGGCGGAAGUGCAGCUGCUGGCUACUGCCGAGCACUGCAGCUCAUCGCGCCUGGCUGCCAUAUCGCACAGUGGAAAAAGGGGGACGUGGUGACGACGUGAAGCUCCCUCUCAGCGUAAUCGUCCCCUCCUCCUCCCAUGCAGCACCGCUGCGUCACGUCUACCGCAGAGGAGAGAACAGCCACCGAGGUACAUGGAGCUUCGUUGCGCCCGUCCUGUUUCUAUAGGUCAACUCCACGAUAUUCAUGUGAUUCUCUUGAUCACACAUGUCGAACGCCUCAUCUUCAUACCCUCCUCGACUUUUUUGUCCGUG
rnacentral:misc_RNA from 1 species